CGGAAAUAGCUCAGUGGUAGAGCACCACCUUGCCAAGGUGGGGGUCGCGAGUUCGAGUCUCGUUUUCCG
rnacentral:tRNA from 2 species